GAUUGCUUCUGUCAACCUUUCUCUCACUUUCACCUGUUUUGAGGACUCCUCCCUACAAGGACAGUAAAUUCUUGUCAGAUUGCUUAUGUUUUCAGGCUUAGGUAAAUUCUCUAGAUCAGAAAUCAGACAACUUACAUUGGCACCUUUGGGCCACUAGGUGGAGACUGCGAACAGCCUCCAGGGUAGCUGCGGAUGUGCAGAAUCGGCAGCUGCGCAGUGGAGGAAAUGGAGGGUCCGAUGCUGGCAAGGCCUUUCUCCCUCAGGAUGAAAGCCGCUGAAGAAGAUACACUGUUUUUUCUUUGAAGAUUCUAAAAGAGAAGAAAAAAUUUACAGCAAAGAUCAACCCAAAGAUACAUGCAGAUUGGUUUCAGAAUCAGAAGGUCAUACUGAGGAAGCGAUGUUACCAAAUAAAUGCUGCACUAUCAGCCAACUCCUUUUCAAUUUCGGGGUGGAAUCUCCAGUCAUUUUCCAAGGAGAUCCUGCGCCUUCUCCAUGGUCUAUGCAUUCUUCUCUUAGAGUCUUUCUUCUUUCCUAGUUCCUUUGGUGAUGAGGAUUGUAGGCUGGUAAUCCUUUGCUCUAUGUCCAAAAUUCAUAUAUGAGUGAGUACAUACCAUGUUUGUCUUUUUGUACCUGGGUAACAGGAGGGAAUGGCGGAGCUGGAAGUUUGAGUCAGGGGAAGAAUAGAGGAGAGAGAGCAGGAUGAGAGAUCCAAUAACAGAGGGGGGCCUUUAUAGGUUCAAUGAGAGAUCUGGCACUAGAGAGAUUUCCAGAGAUCUACAAGGAUGACACCAACUGACAAUCUAGGCAGUGGUGGAGAGGCUACCCUAAAUGCCCUUCCCCUGUAAUGAGACUGAUGACUGCUUUAUAUGACAUCCUAGAGCCCUCAUCCAGUGGCUGAUGGAAGCAGAGGCAGACACCCACAGCUAAACACUGGACUGAACUCCUGGAAUCCGUUGCAGAGAGGAGGAGUGAAGAGCAAAGAGGUGAGGACCCAGCUGGUGAAACCCACAGAAACAGAUGACCUGAACAAGGGAGAGCACAUGGACCCAAGUCUGAUGUCUGGUAGGCCAGCACGGAACUGAUCCAGAACCCUGAAUGUGGAUGUCAAUGAAGAGGUCUUGGCACUCUAUGGGGCCCCUGGUAGAGGAUCAGUAUUUACCCCUUGUGUAUGUAGGAAGGGACUUUGGGAGCCCAUCCCACAUGGAA
rnacentral:lncRNA from 1 species